rnacentral:misc_RNA from 1 species
CUGCAGCCCGACUUGAGCGGAAAUCCUUUUUUUGUGUGGCAAAAGCUGGGCAAAAAAGAUUGAGAGCGGAAGGCGGAUUAAGC